rnacentral:tRNA from 1 species
UCUCUUGUAGUUGAAUAACAACGGUGGUUUUUCAAGCCAUUAGCUCAGGUUAGAGUGCCUGGCGGGAAUU